AUAAUAUAUAAAAAUAACCUUCCUAUAAGCUUGAUAAUAUGGUUCUGGCGUCUCUACUAUACUACCGUAAAUAGUAUAACUAAGAAGUUAUAAUCCAGAUGA
rfam:Clostridium sp. 7_2_43FAA genomic scaffold supercont2.3, whole genome shotgun sequence.